GUGACAGCCGCCGCGGUAAUACAGAGGGUGCGAGCGUUAAUCGGAAUUACUGGGCGUAAAGGGCGCGUAGGCGGUAAGAUGGGUGUGAUGUGAAAGCCCCGGGCUUAACCUGGGAAGUGCAUCGCAAACUACCUCACCGGAGUAUAUGAGAGGGUGGCGGAAUUUCCGGUGUAGCGGUGAAAUGCGUAGAGAUCGGAAGGAACGUCAAUGGUGAAGGCAGCCACCUGGCAUAAUACUGACGCUGAGGCGCGAAAGCGUGGGGAGCGAACAGGAUUAGAUACCCCUGUAGUCC
rnacentral:rRNA from 1 species